GACGAACGCUGGCGGCGUGCUUAACACAUGCAAGUCGAGCGGUAAGGCCCUUUCGGGGGUACACGAGCGGCGAACGGGUGAGUAACACGUGAGUAAUCUGCCCUUCACUCUGGGAUAAGCACUCGAAAGGGUGUCUAAUACCGGAUACGACACAGACUGGCAUCGGUUCUGUGUGGAAACUUUUGUGGGUGGGGGAUGUGCUCGCGGCCUAUCAGCUUGUUGGUGGGGUAAUGGCCUACCAAGGCUUUGACGGGUAGCCGGCCUGAGAGGGUGACCGGCCACACUGGGACUGAGACACGGCCCAGACUCCUACGGGAGGCAGCAGUGGGGAAUAUUGGACAAUGGGCGGAAGCCUGAUCCAGCAACGCCGCGUGAGGGAUGACGGCCUUCGGGUUGUAAACCUCUUUCAGCACAGACGAAGCGAAAGUGACGGUACCCGCAGAAGAAGCACCGGCCAACUACGUGCCAGCCGCCGCCGUAAGAC
rnacentral:rRNA from 1 species